GAUCUGAGCAAGAAACGCAGAGAUGCUCAAGGAGUUCACAAUAGGAUAGAAAAUGUUCAACAAGUUCGCCGGUUAUAUUUACAAAGGACAAAGAGAGGUGUUUAAGGGACUUGAUGCAGGAAAUACCAAAAGGGCUUCUAAAUGGCUUAUCUGGAAAGGUAUAACUGGGAGAAGAAAAACGAGACCGUCUGCCUGCUUCCAAAUCUAUCUCAAGGCCUUGAACUCUCCUCCACAUUGCAAAUUCAAUCCAAUUGUCGAUUUCAGAACUACUAGGACUGGAAUCGGGUGAGGAAGAAUGAAUUUGGAAUUCAUCUAAGGAUAGACCCUGGUGCAAUUGCAAGACUUGAUUCACCCAAUUGUAACUAGAUGUUGUUUUCACUCGUUUUCUUUUCUUCUGCAGUUUGGAUAAUGCAUCUAUAUCAUCGAAGUUGAGACACGUAAUCUGUUUCCACAGAGAGACCCACCUCUUCGAGAGGACACAAGUCCUUGCUGCUUCCCUAAUACCCAAUAGGGAAAGAAUGCUAAUUAGAAUGGCAUCUGGUAGCUGACUGAUCUGAUCGUCCUCUGAAUAAUUCUCUUCCUUAUCACCCAAAUUGAUUGGAAUCUUUUGUUGUUUCCUGUAUGUCCAUCCAGAAUGCUCAGCCUUUCUUUUCGGCAUCGAAGUUGGAACACCCUUGUUAUUAAUUUACUCUCUUCUUAAAUGUUACAAUGUAAUCAAAUAAGCUACACGAAGUGGAGCAAACCGAUUAUUACUAAAACCAACUAUCAAACAGAUGAAAAGAAGCGAUCAUCUAUAAUAAAUGAAGGCGGCGAAAAAGUUGGGUUCGUGAAUACAAGUAAUCUAAGCUAGUGACUCUAGCAGUGAAACCUUAAAACAAAGAGAAGAAGACAAGACUGUGUGUUUUUCAUUCACACCAACGUUCAUAAAAUCACACUUGUAUUUGAUUCUGUGUAAAUAAAAAAGUAGGGAGCCAAUAGCUGAUUAAAAGCCCCUGCUUUUCAAUCAAAACUUUGCAAUCUAGAAUUACCAAAGCAGCUAACCUGUUAUUUAUAGGCAGCAAACCGACUAAAAUGCACCAAAUCCAAAUCCAAGUCCAACUGGGAAACUACAUUUCUAUUUCCCUCUUUUUGAAGGAGAAGCGGAACCUUUUCGACUUAUUUGGUACAACUACAACAUCUAAAGACAAUUUUGGAUGUAAGCCAUGGAACAUAAUUGCGCCUCUGAAAGAGUAAAUCUGACACUGAUAGGUAUUUUGAUUUCAAAUACGAAAAAGCCGGCGAAUUUGAUUGAAAAUCGCCAUGUAACUCAAAAUUCCAAACUUAUAACAGGAAAUGAAGUUACGAAAAUCGAAAGGGAAAAACUUACUUAUUUGAGGGGUGGACAGAUGCGGCAUAUCUGCAACGCCAACCUCUAGCCGCGAAGGGAAAUGGGAAAUGGGGAAAGUCAUCAACGGCUCAUAAGAUCAACUUCUGUGGUUUUUGUUUGGAGGGGUAAAAGGGGAAUUUCAUACGUGUUUGGGUAUGGAUAGAUACCGUCACAUGCUCAUUUGUCCGCCAAACUCAAUCUAUCUCAAACUUGAAAUCCAAGUAGAGAAACAAACAGAUCUCUCCACUUUCAGCUCCUCGAUCGACCGUGCCGUCGCCCUCUGUGACAAGAUCUCAUGUUCUCUGUAGCCCUCUGUGAAUUACGGAAGGCUCUGGAGACCAUGAGAUCUGAUAAGAGGCAUCUUCUGAGUUCCAGUCACCCCAGAAGAAGACUUGGGUCAGGUGUAUCCAAAUUCAUACUUUUUUUGAGUGAGGAACUUUCAUAACAAAUUCUUAAAUAUUUUUAUAGCGUUGAUAAAAAGUCAUUUAUUUAAAUAUUUAGCAAGACUUUUACUCUUAAUAAUCAAUCUUAAAAAUAUUAAAAAGUCAUUUAUUUAAGACUUAAAUGCUAAAAUAGUCCUUGUGUUUUAUCAUGUUGGUCAAUUUAAUCCCUGUGUUUUUAAUUUAGCCAAUAUAGUCCAUUCCGUUAAAAUUGCCAUUAAAUAAACAUAAAUUGUUUUUUUUUUUGUGGGUAGAAAACCUAUAAACUUAUUUGAAAUUAAUUUUAACAUUUUAAUUAAUUAAAAAAUAUAUUGAAACUUCAUUAAAACCAAAACAUAACGUUAGGAAAGAAAAAAAAAACAAGAUGGGUAUAAUCAAGGAGGGGGGAGUGGGGCGACGACCAGAGUGGGCUAGAGGAUCCGAGCGACACGGCUGGAGAUGGGACAAAUUAAUGGUGGCAUUUUAAACCGAAAAACCGAAAAACCGAAAAACCGCAAAAACCAACCGAUAUUUUACCGCAAUAAAACCGCAAUCGCGGUAAAUCGAACCGCAAUCACGGUAUUAAGAACCGAACCGCAUUUGCGGUUGCGGUUGCGGUAUUUUAUUUUCAAAAUUUGCGGUUACCGCAAACCGCAAAGUAUAGCCGCACGGCUAUACUCUAUGAAUAAUUAAGUAAAAUUGUAAAUCCUUCUCUUCUCUCUCUGUAGCCGUGAGAUGAAAACCUAGAAUCUGUUUCUUCUCCUGAUUCCCAUUCGUCUCUCUCUCAACUCUCUCUCAACUCUCUUAUUCCCAUUCGUCUCUCUCUCUCUCUCUCUCUCUCUCUCUCUCUCAACUCUCAAAAUCGGCUUCUCUCUCACAGACCCGAAUCGAACUCAUCUCCUCCUCUCUCUCUCUCUAACUCAAUUCAAGCCCUCCCUCUGUCUCUCUCAAGGAUCGAUCUUUGUGAAAAGCGCCAUUAGAGCUUCGAACCCGAGCGCAGCCGCUGAGUCUUCUUCACCUGGACUCUACUCCGCCAAGAAGUACGAGCUCACUGUUCCUAACGUCGACUUGGUUCUUGAGGACGUCCGCCCCUAUCUCAUCGCUGAUGGCGGUAACGUCGACGUUGUGUCCGUUGAGGACGGCGUCGUUUCACUCAAGCUACAAGGUGGGUUUGGUUGGGUUAUCUCUUUUUUCUGUCUCUGUUUUUCAUUUGAAAUAUGGUUUCUUUUUUCUGUCAGGAAUUUUGGGUUUUGUGAAUUUGAAUGAUUUACUCAUUGUCAACAUAUAAUUUGAUUGUGAAACAGUGGUAAUUAGUUAGAAUCAAUAUUUUGUUUUGCAAUUAGGCAAUUGAAAUUCCAACAGGGGCUUGUGGGAGCUGCCCUAGCUCAACCACCACCAUGAAAAUGGGAAUUGAAAGAGUGCUUAAAGAAAAGUUUGGAGAUGCGCUCAAGGAUAUUUCUUCAUCUAUGACGAUUGAGAGUCACCAGCUGAGGAAUGCAACUUUUAACCGAAAGAAAAGGUUCAAUUAUAGACCUAGUACUUUCUGCAAGAGAUACAUUAACAAGCAAGGGUGCAUGCCUCAAUCGAAUACUGUCACAAUAACCCAACAUUCCCUUAUAAAUAAAUGACACGAGAUUAGGAGCCCAAAUCUCAACUAAUCCUAAAGACGUACACUCACUUAUUUGUAGGAACUUCAACCGGAGUGAUGAACCAGCAACUUUCAAUUUUACUAAUUGAUCUGAGCAAGAAAUGCAGAGAUGCUCAAGGAGUUCACAGUAGGAUAGAAAGUGCUCAACAAGUUCGCCGGUUAUAUUUACAAAGGACAAAGAGAGGUGUUUAAGGGACUUGAUGCAGGAAAUACCAAAAGGGCUUCUAAAUGGCUUAUCUGGAAAGAUAUAACUGGGAGAAGAAAAACGAGACCGUCUGCCUGCUUCCAAAUCUAUCUCAAGGCCUUGAACUCUCCUCCACAUUGCAAAUUCAAUCCAAUUGUCGAUUUCAGAACUACUAGGACUGCAAUUGAGUGAGGAAGAACGAAUUUUGAAUUCAUCUAAGGAUGGACCAUGGUGCA
rnacentral:lncRNA from 1 species